ensembl:piRNA 21ur-1965 ncRNA
AAAUGAUCACUAAUUUUCCUU